rnacentral:rRNA from 1 species
UACGGAGGGGGCUAGCGUUAUUCGGAAUCAUUGGGUUUAAAGGGUCCGUAGGCGGUUUUAUAAGUCAGUGGUGAAAUCUGGUCGCUCAACGAUCAAACGGCCAUUGAUACUGUAAGACUUGAAUUACUUGGAAGUAACUAGAAUAUGUAGUGUAGCGGUGAAAUGCUUAGAGAUUACAUGGAAUACCAAUUGCGAAGGCAGGUUACUACUAAUAUAUUGACGCUGAUGGACGAAAGCGUGGGGAGCGAACAGG